CAACUACUCCCUCUAUGCCAAAUUUAUUGUCUUAGAUUUGUCUAGAUACGGAUGUAUCUAAUACUAAAAUGUGACUUGAUACAUCCAUAUCUAGACAAAUCUAAGACAAGAAUUUUGGGACGGAGGGAGUACUUU
rfam:Triticum aestivum genome assembly, contig: Triticum_aestivum_CS42_TGACv1_scaffold_030565_1BL